AUAGGGAAUUGCAAUUAUUUCCCUUGAACGAGGAAUUCCCAGUAACCCGCGAGUCAUUAGCUCGCGUUGAUUACGUCCCUGCCCUUUGUACACACCGCCCGUCGCUACUACCGAUUGAAUGGUUUAGUGAGGUCCUCCGAUUGGACCCGGUCCGGGCGGCGACGUCCGAGCCGGCGUCCGAGAAGACGAUCUAACUUGAUCAUUUAGAGGAAGUAAAAGUCGUAACAAGGUUUCCGUAGGUGAACCUGCGGAAGGAUCAUUA
rnacentral:ncRNA from 1 species